GACGAACGCUGGCGGCGUGCUUAACACAUGCAAGUCGAACGGAGUGGCGAACGGGUGAGUAACACGUGGGUGAUCUGCCUUGCACUUCGGGAUACGCUUGGUAAACUGGGUCUAAUACCGGAUAGUGCAAGAUGAGCUCGCGGCCUAUCAGCUUGUUGGUGGGGUAAUGGCCUACCAAGGCGUCGACUGGUAGCCGGCCUGAGAGGGUGGACGGCCACAUGGGGACUGAGAGACGGACCAGACUCCUACGGGAGGCAGCAGGGGGGAAUAUGGCACAAUGGGCGGAAGCCUGAUGCAGAGACGCUGCGUGGGGGAUGAAGGCCUUCGGGUGGGAAACGCCUUUCGAUAGGGACGCGGUACCUGUAGAAGAAGCACCGGCUAACUACGUGCCAGCAGCCGCGGUAAUUC
rnacentral:rRNA from 1 species